UACAGAGGUCCCAAGCGUUGUUCGGAUUCACUGGGCGUAAAGGGUGCGUAGGCGGUCAGGUAAGUCUGAUGUGAAAUCUCUGGGCUUAACCCAGAAAUGGCAUUGGAUACUAUUUGGCUUGAGAGUUGGAGGGGGGACUGGAAUUCUUGGUGUAGCAGUGAAAUGCGUAGAGAUCGGGAGGAACACCAGUGGCGAAGGCGGCCGGCUGGGGGUGACCUGACGCUGAGGCGCGAAAGCGUGGGGAGCGAACCGG
rnacentral:rRNA from 1 species